AGCUGUCCUCCAGGCACUGGGGUGCUCAGGACACCAACCUCCUGCCCACGCGGCCCCACAGUGCCCUAUCCCCACUCAGCCAGCCAGGCACACAGAGGCUGCAGGAGCAGCGCCCAAUGUCAUCCCACGGCCGCCUGCCCCACCUCUGGCCAUCACAGGGCAGAGAAGAAAGCCCCACAGCAGGGAGCAGAGGGGGAACCCCGUCUGAAACCCACCCCUGGGCACCCGGUGGGCCCAUGGGCUGCGGCCAGUAGCAAUAAAGAGCAGUGGAUGGGAUGCAUCUGCAUAGUCGGGGUAGAGACGGGGUCGGUUUUGCCUUCAGCAUCCCUCUUCUGUACGUAGGGACACCUUGUCCUUCACUACCUCCAUCCUUCCAUCCACUCAUCCUCCCAUCUACUCAUCUACUCAUCCUCCUAUCCAUCUGUCCGUCCGUCCACCCAUCCAUCCAUCCCCACUGCUUGCUGCCCAUGCAGGUUAUGGGGCUGGCCCCCACACCCCCCCAAUUGGCACAUGCAGGGAAGGACCAAACCCCGAUGUGGAUGCAGGGGGACACAGGGCUGGGAUUUUCCCAUCAUGCACCCAGGGUCUGACUGCAGCAUCCCUUAUCCUGAGCCCCAAAGGGGUGAAUACCCACACAGGACAUCCCCCAUCCCACGUGCUCGCAGUGCAGGAGCCGGGACUCCAUGUCUCUGGGACUCCUUGUCCCUGCCUCAGCACAUCAGAACUCGACAGUUCAUUUACUUAAAUCACACUUUACGGGGCCCUGAUUUACUGCUGCGGUGGAUUGCAGCUGCUCUGCACUGGUCCGACCUCCCAGGACGUGUUUGUUUGGGGUUUGUUUUCCAUGGGGGAAGGGGAGUGAUACUACGAAGGCGGCGUGGCGCUGGGAGGGUGGGGGAGGCACCAACAAAUGGAUUUGGGAAUCCCACAGUGCAAAAAGAGAGGCAUCUCAGAGCAAAGCCCAUCAGCGGGAUAAGGUUCAGCUGGGACGCACUGCGGGGUGCUGAGCUCAGCCCCUCCCACCCCACGGGUACCCACCCGCACUGCCGGUCCCAUAAGCACCAGCACCCCUUCAGCCUCAGCGCUGCCCUGCUCAGAGCAGGUAAGCAGACCCCCAUAGGCUUCGCUUUUCCUUCGUGGAGCAUCCCUGUCCCUACCUGUGCGUCUCCAGACCCGCUGCAUCCCAGGUUUGUUGGGGUCCCACCCCAUUUCCUCCUUGCACACCGGGCAGUGGUGAUGGGAGCUGAGUUGGGGGUCGGGUUGGGAAGGAAUGGC
rnacentral:lncRNA from 1 species